rnacentral:rRNA from 1 species
AGGACGAACGCUGGCGGCGUGCUUAACACAUGCAAGUCGAGCGGUGAUCCUCCUUCGGGAGGUGAGCAGCGGCGAACGGGUGAGUAACACGUGGGCAACCUGCCCCUCACACUGGGAUAACCUCGGGAAACCGGGGCUAAUACCGGAUAUGACCUCGAGCGGCAUCUCUUGAGGUGGAAAGCUCCGACGGUGAGGGAUGGGCCCGCGGCCUAUCAGCUUGUUGGUGGGGUAAUGGCCUACCAAGGCGACGACGGGUAGCCGGCCUGAGAGGGCGACCGGCCACACUGGGACUGAGACACGGCCCAGACUCCUACGGGAGGCAGCAGUGGGGAAUAUUGCGCAAUGGGCGAAAGCCUGACGCAGCGACGCCGCGUGAGGGAUGAAGGCUUUCGGGUUGUAAACCUCUUUCAGCGAGGGACGAAGCGAAAGUGACGGUACCUGCAGAAGAAGCACCGGCUAACUACGCGCCAGCAGCCGCGGUAA